UUCCUGGAGAACUAGUGGUUACGCCACAGCACUCUCACUGCUGCGGCUCGGGUUCGAUUCCUAGCCAGGGAA